rnacentral:rRNA from 1 species
GACGAACGCUGGCGGCGUGCUUAACACAUGCAAGUCGAACGGAAAGGCCUGCUUUCCCUUGUGGAUUGCGGGUGCUCGAGUGGCGAACGGGUGAGUAACACGUGAGUGAUCUGCCCCCAACUUGGGUAUAAGCCUGGGAAACUGGGUCUAAUUCCCGAUAGAACUGCAGGGUGGGUCCGGUGGUGGAAAACGAUUUUCUAGUGGUUGGGGAUGAGCUCGCGGCCUAUCAGCUUGUUGGUGGGGUAAUGGCCUACCAAGGCGGCGACGGGUAGCCGGCCUGAGAGGGUGGACGGCCACAUUGGGACUGGGAUACGGCCCAGACUACUACGGGAGGCAGCAGUGGGGAAUAUUGGACAAUGGGCGGAAGCCUGAUGCAGCGACGCCGCGUGGGGGAUGACGGCCUUCGGGUUGUAAACUCCUUUCGACCGCGAGGAAGCCACCUGGUUGGAAGGGUGGUGACGGUAGUGGUAGAAGAAGCACCGGCUAACUACGUG